AUGAGAAUCUAACGCCUGAUGACCUAUCACUGUCUCCCAUCACUCCCAGAUGGGACCGUCUAGUUGCAGGAAAACAAGCUCAGGGCUCCCACUGAUUCUACAUUAUGAUCAACUGCAUGGGGUCCUACAGGAGAAGACCAAGAGACAGAGACAGAGACCAGGGAAAAUGACCGAUACCAUUCCUUCUCAGGGAUGCUACACACCCAUGGGGCAGAGGAUAAGAGGUUCCUGAAGGCAUCACCCCUCUGGCCAUGGCUGGUGUGCAGACAAAGCUGGAGAUUUGGAGUAGCCUGUUGUCCCACUGACUCUUAGACUGCCCCAGCUAAGAAGAACCAACUCCUCCUAUUACAGAUGAAAUAAACAAAGCUACUCAAGCUCUCUGGCAUCGCCCUGACGCACACCAAAGAGAGUUCUAGAAAAAAUGAGAAUAAGAAAUUUACCUGUAAUCCUUGCUCAAGAAACUGAAGCUCUGAGGCCACAUUGUUCCAGCCUUUUGCAGCUCCUGCAUGUGGAUACCAGCACCAGCAGCUCCCCGACCAGGGGCCCCAGCUAAGCCCUCCCAGAGGAUGAUCUUGGCUUUGUACAUGGGGUGUCAAUAUCCUGUGAGUCCAACAGAGGGAAGACAUAAGAAUAUGGUCACCCAGGUUUUGUACAGAGGAAAUCCAGGCUCCUAACGAUGGCGAAAGAUGGGAAUAAAAGGAUCAGAACACUGAGCUGGAUCUUCAGUUCAUUUCAGGUAUGGAGAAGGGUAAAUGGUCUUUAAAGAAGGCCGACCUCAAUGAAGGUGUCUUCCAAGGCCUUGUCCACUCAAGGACAUGUUGCAUGCCUGAAACUGAGUAUACAGGAAAAGGAUAGAAAUGGAAUAAAAUGGAAACCCAUAAAUCACACUACCCUGCUAUGCAGUUUCAAACCACUGACUUAAUGAAAUGUUGAUCCACUUUGCCAUGGAUGCCCCACUUUUUAACUCCUUCUUCAGAGUCCCAGGAGGUGAGGCUCUUCUGUUUAACUGAUUUGCAGAAUUUUUGCUUCUGCUAUUACAAUGGCUUCCAUAGUUGAGUACCAAAGACACUUUACUAUGGUGCCACAGAGAUCAUUUUGCAGAUGAGGAAACAGACUGUUCUACUACCCAGGCUUUGGUUUUUUCUACUCAGUCUUGCACAAUCUCUCACUCUCAGCCCAGAACAUUGCUGCAUUUUUGUGAGCCAUCAGCAUCCAAAGUGAACACAGGGUCUAAAUAACUGAAGAUGGCAUGAGGGAACACACAAUCAGGUCUUUAAAAAAAGAAGAAAGUGAAUAGGCAAACUGAACAGGACAUCUAGGACUGAAAAGCCUCUGUGAACAACUGGACUCAAUAUGAAAUUGGCGUGAGCUCACAGAAGACCAGCUGAGUUCCAGAUGUGGUUGGGUAGCUUGGGUUAUGGGCCCGUAUAAAAAAAAUGGUCUCUUCUUGUAAAAGGAAUUCAAAAAAAGACUAAAAGUCACCCCAAAGAGUCACUGUCUUUGUCUUUUGGCCAUUAGUAAGUCAGAAGAGACCUCUAGAGGAGACUGGAUUUUGUGGCUGAUUAUCGAUUAAUUGAUCAUCACUGGGUAUCUUUGGGAGUGUUGCCUUCUCAGGGAGAAGCUGAAAAUCAUUCUGUGAAAGGUAUGUCCACUGACAAUCAUUUAAGCUCUUUGGAGGCAAGAAAUCAGGUAUCUGGGAGAACUCAGAGAUAACAUAGGAGCGACAGGCUGAAACCAUGAGCGAGAUGGGCAGAUGGCUUGAGAAUGACGAUGGGCAGAGGAGAGCAGUGGCAGGGAGAACCCACAGGCCUCUACUUGGAGUCAGCCUGUCAGCAGGAUAAGCUACAAGAUCACCCUCGAGGGAAACUGCAGGCCAGGUCAGGGGCACUGCAAGCUGCAGGUGUGCCCAGGCAGGAGGGCAGGUGGCCUGUGAUGAGGGGCCAUGACUGUGUGGUGGGCUCUCCCACACCAGGAGCAACUAGACACUAGACUGAAAGUUCUUUUAAGUGAGGGAGCCAUCUUCUGUCCAGGGAAAAGUGGUUCGGGAUACAGGAGGAGCCCUGCACCACAGAAUCGGUCUAGUCUCAGGCUGUCUGUUCCACAGGAGCCUCCAGCCCAGUGAUGUAGGCAGCUAUUCACAACCACAUCAUGGCACAAAGUGAGGCCUCCCAAUCCACAGCCAUCCCUGAUUACAGACACUUCACUGGAUGUCUGAACAUAGCUGUGUGUGCCUGGAAAGCCUAGAAAUAGAAACGCUCCUUUUUUCCCCAAGACGAUCAUCUCUACAUCCUGACCUGGAUCAACAGUGAUCCAUUCUGGACAAUCCUGGACACUCCUGCUCCUGGAGAGAAGGGAUAGAUAACUUUUCCACCUGCCUGCCUGUCCUGUCCACCUCGAGGUGGUCUUGUGGCAUCUUGGGCCUCACAUGUCCCAUAGUCUCUUCUCAUCCCUCCAAUUUGCUCCUUCUCCAGACUUCUCUCUCUUGGUUGAGUGGUUCCACCAUUUUCCCAAGUUGCUUGGACCCAACACUUGAGUUACAGCCAACUCCUCUCUUUCUCUCACAACCCAAAUCUAAUUCAUCAGUAAGUCCUGGUGGCUCCACAUUCGGAAUGUUCCUGGGAUGCCACCACUUUUUGUCAUCUCUGUUACUGCUAGCCUGCCCCUUGCUACUGUCAGCUCCAGCCUGGAGGACUGAAAUAACCUCCUCACUGUCUCCAGCUGUUCUUCCCGCCCAUGGUCUAUUCCCCAGACACCACCAGAGGGAUGCUUUGAAGUCCAGAUGGCAUCAUGUCAUUUAGAAUGAAACCUGAGGUCCCAAGUGUGGCCCGAGGGAUGGUCAGGUUGCCCCCAGGGCUCCAUUUCCUGCCACUCUUCCUCUCUCUCACUCUGCUGGAGCCACAUGGUUACUAUUCCUGAACACAGGAGGCUCCCUCCUGCUUCAGGUCUCGUGCAGAUUUGUUCCCACAGCCUGGGGACAGAUUUUAUCCCAGAAGUUCCCAGGGCUUGAUUCCUCCCUUUAUUUAGUUCUCAGCUGAAAUGUCCCCUCUUCUGAGCAGCCUUCUCUCACCACCCGAUGGAAGCAGCCGUCCCUGCACGCUCUAUCACUUCACUCGGCUCUAUUUUUCUUCCUAACACGUUCACAACUUGACAUUCUUUUAUAAUUUUUCACUUAUUUAUUGAGUGCUGUCUCUUCCACUAGAACCCCUGAAAGCAGGGAUUUUUAUAAUCUUUUGGCCACCACUAGAUUCAUAAGGAUGCACAGAGCCUGGUAGGCUGCAGGCUGUCCAUAACUGCUUGUUGAAUGAAUCGAUGGAUGAAUGAUCAGCAGAAGCUCGUUUCUCUCCAUGAAAUACAACGGGUUCCAAAGAAAUCGAAGCCUUUUUGAAAGGCCUAGCCAUACUUCACCCAUACAGCUGCAGUGGCAGAUCCAUGCUCAUGACCUCAUUUCUCUCCUCAGAACCACCUUAAAAGUAGACCUUUCAGAGCUACCCGAGAAUCCUGGUCCCUGCAGCUGAUCUUCCCACCUCCACCCAGCUCUCGUCCUCCUCUUCCUCCCCAUCCACCAUCCUGACCAGGUGAGCUGGCUUCCCCUGCUCAACAGCUCUACGAGUUUGCACUUCUGGAUUUGGUCAGGUCAAGACCAGCUCCCCCAAAUAUACCUCUGUCCUAGACAGCCUUGUUCUAAACAGAAACUGAUGAUAACAUGGAGGAAGAGGCUUGAACGGAAAGGUGGAGGAGGGAAGGAAGGAACAGGGAGAAGUCAUCUCUAGGUUGGCAGUCCCUGUCAGCCUCUUAGGACUUCUCACCUCUGCAGCAGUGAUGGUAGAGUCGUGUCUUACUCCCUGGGGGGAGGUGGGUGGUUCCUGACACCAUCCCCUGCUUCCCCAAGUUCUCCUCUUUAGAAAAGGAUGGAGGUCUAUGAUGCAGGCAAGGUCAUCACAGAUUCUAUUCCCUCCUUCUAGUGAUCUCAAACGUGACAUUAAAUAAAUGUAGCAAAGAGGUUCUUUAUGAAGCUUUUGAUUCUGAAAUAGAAUCAUUCAUAAAAUAUGAAGUAACUCUAGAUACCAGAUCACCUAUCUUCUCAUUUAAUCCAUGAGGAAACAGAGAGAUGCUAAGUAACUUGCCCAGGGUCACAGAACUGGUAAGGCACUAAACUAGGACUUGAAGCCUCCUGAGCUGCUCUGCUGGACCGCCAAGAUGCUGCAGAGACCAGUUCUUUCCAGCAGGAAGUCCAGUUCCCAAAACACGCAUGGGCUGCUCCAACCUUGCCAAUAAUUCCCCCAAAUGGUGGAACCUGCAAACAUACCCCAUUGGCCUAAAAUAUUUGCUUAAGGUCCACCUCAUUUACCCCAAAUUAUCAUCCUCUUCCUCUCUCCUUCCUGCCUCUGCCCUACUCUUCCAAUCUCAAAUCCCUCAAGCUAUCCAAUAACUAUUGAGAGUUUAGGCAUCCAGGUCCUCAGCUGUACCAAUCCAAGGCUGGGGAAAGAUCUCCUUUCCUUUUUCUAUCUUCAUUGGAAGAUAUUUCAUGAAAAAAAUCAGCAGUGAGUUCUUCAAUAGGGGAGCAAACAUUGCUUCAAAACUCAGCUCUAAACUGCAGAGAAGGCCAGGCACAGUAGCUCAUGCCUAUAAUCCAGCACUUUGGGAGGCUGAGGCAGGCAGAUCACAGCAUUUUGGGAGGCUGAGGUGGGUGGACCACUUGAGGUCAGGAGUUCGAGACCAGCCUGGACAACAUGGCAAAACCCUGUCUCUACUAAAAAUACAAAAAUUAGCCAGGCGUGGUGGCAAACACCUGUAAUUCCAGCUACUCAGGAGACUGAGGCAUGAGAAUCACUUGAACCCGAGAGGCAGAGGUAGCAGUGAGCCGAGAUCACACCACUGCACUCCAGCCUGGGCAACAGAGGGAGAUUCUGUCUCCAAAAAAAUAAAAAAUAAAAUAAACUGCAGAGAAAAUAGCAUGGGCCAGGCCAGCCAGAGGGUCCUGUGCCACGUGCCAUCAGUGCUAUGGUGGGAGCUUAUUUCCACUCCCAGGUCAGCACCUCCUCCCUCAUCUGUGCCCCCUAGGUCGGCAACCCCUGGGACCCAAUGAAUGGCUAACCAGGCCUGCAGCUGAAAGCUCUGGCUCGUAAUUUGUGAAAUCCUCUCCUCCUGGCAGCAUGUGAAGUGGCCAUUUAACAGAUGGCCAGUAAUAUAUUGCAUUCCUGGAAAAUCUAUAUUUCAGUAGUCACAUUAUUUACAUUUUUCAUUUAUUAAUCCUAUUAGGAAUAUUCCCUCCAGGACACAAAUAAAGGUGGAACAAAAAAGCAAGACAAAUAGGCAACUGUGAAAAAAACCCACCUUAUUCAAAGGCCUGCUGUUUCCCCUGGGCACAGCUUAUAUAUCACCUGUGUGCAAAUAGGACAUCUGACUUGGUGCAGAUAGGAGAACAUCUGCUGCUCAAAUGUCUUUUGAGUAUUCCCAGAGACCCCAUGAGAUACCAGCCAGAGGAGUCUCUUGCUGCAAGGAAAGCUGUAGCCAAGUAUAUAAUUUUUAAUCCAGUAAUAUCAAAUUCAACAAAAACUGUCGAGAGCACAAAACAUGGUUAGAAAAUAGACCAAUGGAAGAGCCAGCAGGCAUGGGCUGUUUGGUUGGCUGACUGGUGGUAAUGAGUGUACAACGGGCUAAACAUUGACCUGGAUGCAUUGGCAACAUGGUGAAUGCAAUCGCCUUCAUUUCAGCCCAAUGCCUGGCACGUACAAAGUUUGGGAUUAAUGCUAGGCCAUGAGGUCGUCAUUGCUGUUUCACCAUCUGCUAGAGGAAAUGCUCCUCAUCCUUCAGGGACCAGCUGUCAUGCUGCCUCUUCUGUUAACGCGUCCUUGCAUUGGUGCCUUCUCUAAACUCCUGCAAAAUCGACCUUACUUUUUUUCCUCCAUGUUUUUUAGUCCUUUGCCAAUCUGAUGUCCCUCACUGGAUUGUUAGCUCCAUAAAAACUAUAAUUUCUAUUUACCUUUGGUUCUACCCCCACAGCACGGCCCCUGCAGUGACCUGCAUCUAGUAAGGGUUACUAUAAGUAAGUGAUACAAUCCCAGAAGUUGACAGUUUCCAUAUGUUUUUGGUUUGGGUGGUGUAUUAGUCCAUUUUCACACUGCUAUAAAGAACUAUCUGAGACUGGGUAAUUUUAAAAGA
rnacentral:lncRNA from 1 species